UACGAAGGGGGCUAGCGUUGCUCGGAAUUACUGGGCGUAAAGGGCGCGUAGGCGGAUAUUUAAGUUAGAGGUGAAAGCCCAGGGCUCAACCCUGGAAUAGCCUUUAAUACUGGAUAUCUUGAGUUCGGGAGAGGUGAGUGGAACUCCGAGUGUAGAGGUGAAAUUCGUAGAUAUUCGGAAGAACACCAGUGGCGAAGGCGACUCACUGGCCCGAUACUGACGUGAGGCGCGAAAGCGUGGGGAGCAAACAGG
rnacentral:rRNA from 1 species